rnacentral:rRNA from 1 species
AUGUACAUGCCUAUGACAUAGAGUUAAUACAUAUGAUUCCAUUAGAACUCCACAGCUAAGCAUGGUUAGGCUAAAGUAGUACUGGGAUGGGUGACUGCCCACAAAGUCCUAGUGUUUUACAUG